rnacentral:rRNA from 1 species
UUCAAGCGGUAGGAGAGCGUCGUAACCGGGCUGAAGUCGUACCGUAAGGAGCGGUGGACUGGUUACGAGUGAGAAUGUUGGCAUCAGUAGCGAGAUGUGGGUGAGAAUCCCACAGGCCGAAAACCUAAGGUUUCCUCAGGAAGGUUCGUCCGCUGAGGGUUAGUCGGGACCUAAGCCGAGGCCGAAAGGCGUAGGUGAUGGACAACUGGUUGAUAUUCCAGUACCACUACCAUCGUUAUUAUCGAUGGCGUGACGCAGGAGGAUAGUGUGUGCUAGCUAUUGGAUGCUAGUCUAAGCGUUUAGGCAGUGAGAGUAGGCAAAUCCGCUCUCAUAAUGCUGAGGCGUGAUGGGGAAGGUUCUACGGAACCGAAGUACAUGAUUCCACGCUGCCAAGAAAAGCGUCUAGAGAGAGAAGUAGUGCCCGUACCGCAAACCGACACAGGUAGGUGAGGAGAGAAUCCUAAGGCCGGCGGAAGAAUUACAGUUAAGGAACUCGGCAAAUUGACCCCGUAAGUUCGCGAGAAGGGGUGCCUACGAGAGUAGGCCGCAGAGAAUAGGCCCAAGCAACUGUUUAGCAAAAACACAGGUCUCUGCUAAAGCGUAAGCUGAUGUAUAGGGGCUGACGCCUGCCCGGUGCUGGAAGGUUAAGGGGAACACUUAGCGCAAGCGAAGGUGUGAACUUAAGCCCCAGUAAACGGCGGCCGUAACUAUAACGGUCCUAAGGUAGCGAAAUUCCUUGUCAGGUAAGUUCUGACCCGCACGAAUGGCGUAAUGACUUGGGCACUGUCUCAACUGUAAAUCCGGCGAAGUUGUAGUGCGAGUGAAGAUGCUCGCUACCCGCGAUUGGACGGAAAGACCCCGUAGAGCUUUACUGUAGCUUAGCAUUGAGUUUUGGUAUUGUCUGUACAGGAUAGGUGGGAGACUAGGAAACCAGGGCGUCAGCCUUGGUGGAGUCAACCUUGGGAUACCACCCUGACAGUACUGAAAUUCUAACUGGCGGCCAUGAAUCUGGUCACAGGACAUUGUUAGGUGGGCAGUUUGACUGGGGCGGUCGCCUCCUAAAAAGUAACGGAGGCGCCCAAAGGUUCCCUCAGAACGGUCGGAAAUCGUUCGAAGAGUGCAAAGGCAGAAGGGAGCCUGACUGCGACACCCACAAGUGGAGCAGGGACGAAAGUCGGGCUUAGUGAUCCGGUGGUACCUCGUGGGAGGGCCAUCGCUCAACGGAUAAA